rnacentral:rRNA from 1 species
GACGAACGCUGGCGGCGUGCUUAACACAUGCGAGUCGAACGGAAAGGCCCUGCUUUUGUGGGGUGCUCGAGUGGCGAACGGGUGAGUAACACGUGAGUAACCUGCCCUUGACUUUGGGAUAACUUCAGGAAACUGGGGCUAAUACCGGAUAGGAGCUCCUGCUGCAUGGUGGGGGUUGGAAAGUUUCGGCGGUUGGGGAUGGACUCGCGGCUUAUCAGCUUGUUGGUGGGGUAGUGGCUUACCAAGGCUUUGACGGGUAGCCGGCCUGAGAGGGUGACCGGCCACAAUGGGACUGAGGUACGGCCCAGACUCCUACGGGAGGCAGCAGUGGGGAAUAUUGCACAAUGGGCGGAAGCCUGAUGCAGCAACGCCGCGUGCGGGAUGACGGCCUUCGGGUUGUAAACCGCUUUCGCCUGUGACGAAGCGUGAGUGACGGUAAUGGGUAAAGAAGCACCGGCUAACUACGUG